CAGAAUCACUGUUAUAUUUUUAAACCUUAUUCCUGGAAGAACUACAGAUGUCAGAUCAAUUUAGAAAGCCAAAGAGUACCUCUGGGAAUUAAAUGGCAGUAAUAUAAACAAUAUUUGGCCAAGCUAUCACUGUAUGCCUACGAUGCCAAAAAUCACUGUUACCUGGCAGCAACAAACCAGCAGGACUUCCUGUGAAAUCAUGACCCCCAUGUGCUCUUUCAGCCCCCAUCAAUUCGUACCUCUAAGCACCUGAGAGCCAAAGUAAACCACAGGAAACCACAGAAUGAAAGCCAAGCAUAUUCCAUCAUUUCCUAGAACCUAGAUAGAGCACAUACAGGAACUAGCAAAAUAAGCUUCUUUGGACCUUUUAAACUGCAUUAUCCCAUAAAAUGUGGUGGACUUAAUGUUGUAGGGCCUAUAAGACUAAGUAAUGAAGGCUGAUAUGUACCCACCUGACUCUGUCUCGGGAUCAUACAACUCGGGAGCCUAAACAGAUAUGUAAUAAAUUGCAAAUGAAGGACUGGCUUAAGGGAGAAAAUCAAUUAUACUGUACAAC